CUAUCACUGGAAUUGCCUAUCACAGUGGUACUUUUAUAGUAUGUCAUGGGAGACCGCCUGAAUAGAGGCAGGAGGCCAAGUAAAUGAGAAUUCUUCAAGUUCAUGGCACUCAUCGCUUCCUCUAUUAUGACUAAUUCACUCUUCAGCCUAGGCAUUUCCCCCCAGCCCUUUCUCGUCCCGGAGUCCUCCGUCCCAGCACAGUCAUGCCUCUGUGGCUGCCCACCAGCAUCAGCCGGCCACCCCGCAGGCUGCCAGGACAGAAAACGGAGGGAGCGAGAACACAGAAGCACGGCUAUGGAUCUGGGGUUUAGCCACUGACAGCGCCUGGGAGCAAUGACCUCUCCAGAGCAGCGCGUGCUCCUAUUACCCACGUCCUGGUUUUGAAUUUUCCUCGGCACUGAGAGAGCUUCUUGAGAG